rnacentral:ncRNA from 1 species
CAAAGGCUUGGUCCUGACUUUAUUGUCAGCUCUUUCUAUACUUACACAUGCAAGUUUCCGCCCCCCUGUGAGGAUGCCCUUAAUUCCCUUUUGGGAACAAGGAGCCGGUAUCAGGCACACACCUGUAGCCCACGACGCCUUGCUAAGCCACACCCCCAAGGGAAAUCAGCAGUGACAGACAUUAAGCCAUAAGUGAAAACUUGACUUAAUUGAAGAUACAGAGAGCCGGUAAAACCUCGUGCCAGCCACCGCGGUUAGACGAGAGGCUCAAGUUGACAAAUUACGGCAUAAAGCGUGGUUAGGGGCCCCCUUAAACUAAAGCCAAACCCCUUCAAGGCCGUUAUACGCAUCCGAAAAUGUGAAGCCCAACAACGAAAGUGACUUUACCCACCCUGACCCCACGAAAGCUAAGAAACAAACUGGGAUUAGAUACCCCACUAUGCUUAGCCCUAAACAUUGAUUUUUUGCCCUAAAAACCUUCCGCCCGGGUAUUACAAACAUAAGUUUAAAACCCAAAGGACUUGGCGGUGCUUAAUAUCCCCCUAGAGGAGCCUGUUCUAGAACCGAUAAUCCCCGUUUAACCUCACCCUCCCUUGCUCCAUCCCGCCUGUAUACCUCCGUCGUCAGCUUACCCUGCAAAGGCCUAAUAGUAAGCAAGAUUGGUAACACCCAAUACGUCAGGUCAAGGUGCAGCGUAUGAGAGGGGAAGAAAUGGGCUACAUUCCCUAACAACUAGGGAACACGAAAAGCACACUGAAAAAAGUGCCUAAAGGAGGAUUUAGUAGUAAGCCAGAAACAGAGAGUCUCGCUGAAACCCGGCCCCUAAGCGCGCACACACCGCCCGUCACCCUCUCCAGGCACCCUACAAAACCCCACUAACUAAACAGAGUCCCGUGCAAAGAAGAGGAAAGUCGUAACAUGGUAAGUGUACUGGAAAGUGCACUUGGCUAAA